rnacentral:rRNA from 1 species
UACAGAGGUCUCAACCGUUGUUCGGAUUCAUUGGGCGUAAAGGGUGCGUAGGCGGCGGGGCAAGUCAGGUGUGAAAUCUCGGGGCUCAACCCCGAAACUGCACUUGAUACUGCCUUGCUCGAGUACUGGAGAGGAGACUGGAAUUUACGGUGUAGCAGUGAAAUGCGUAGAUAUCAAGAGGAACACCUGAGGUGAAGACGGGUUGCUAGGCUGACACUGACGCUGAGGCGCGAAAGCCAGGGGAGCAAACGGG